rnacentral:lncRNA from 1 species
AUGUACGAAGGUCCUUUCCGCUUUAAAAAUGCUUCAGCUGAUGAUUCUAUGGAUCCCAUCUUCCCAGUAUUAGGAUACAACCAUUCUGAUAUAAAUAAAGAGGUUGGAUCUGCAGCUAUCUCAGGUGGCUAUGUUUAUCGCUCCAAGACUGAUCCCUGCAUAUAUGGAAGGUAAAUAUGAACACCCAUUUAGAUAUAUAAUUGAAGCAACUUCAAAUUUUGCAAACCAAACUUAACAGAAGGAUGGUUAAAUUUGCAGUUACCUAUAUGGAGAUUUGUAUGCUAAGAAUUUCUGGGCAGCUCAAGAAAAUCCAUACAAUAGUGGGAACUUUACAACAAGAGGCAUACCAUUUAGUUGUGCUCAUGAUUCCCCUCUCAACUGCAGCUCAGUACCCAAUAGUCCAUUGCCUGCUUUAGGUUACAUAUUCUCAUUUGGACAGGAUAACAGAAAGGAUACCUAUAUUUUAACAAGCACCGGCGUAUACAGAGUGGUUCGU